rnacentral:lncRNA from 10 species
UCAAAUAGGAUGACAAGGGUUCACAGCUUAGAAGGUAAAAUAGCAGAGGCGAAAUUCCGGUAAAACGGGUGAAGAUGUUGGGAAGCAGCAACAAUCAGCCAUACAGCUUUCAAGGAGCAUCUUUUGGAUGUUCAUUAAAAAUGAACUAAGAGAACCCUAAGUGAUACUGCUGUAACCUGCCAAAAGUAAUGAUGGAGAGUUAAGAAGACUGGCUGCCAGGAAUAACAUGAUAAAUGUUACAGUGAAAGUGGCUGCAGGAGAGACAGAAGGGGACUUUAAAAGUAGAACUUUUAAAAACAAGCUCAACUCAUGAAAGAAAUGACCAACUCAUAAAUAUAGUGGAUGACUCAAGCCUAAAAAUACAUGUAAUUUAACAGAAACAAUUAUCUUGGAAGUGAGGUCUUUAUUUGCUGCUAAUCUGUUGCAAUACUCUGGGAUUCAUAGGAAAUUUGCCUGUGAAGUAACUGCUACCAUUCAUGCAAAUAAUAAUAAUAAUAAUAAUAACAAUAGUAACAGCUAAAGAAGAAACAGAACCUCACCUAUGAACACAUGACUGUUUGGCAGCCCACUGAUUCUCCUCUCGCCUCUAUCCCUGUCAGAGGUUAGGACACUGCCCUGUCUUAAGAGCUACACUACUAGUUUUCAAAUAAUAAAAUGAUGUCUUAUAUGCACAAUGACCAUUCACACAAAUGUGACCUUUGAGGUUUAUCUCCUGAUGUUUUGAACUGUUGUCAGUAUUCAGAUGGGAUUUACAAUGAAUCAAAGCUACUGCUGGUCACACUACAUUACAUCUACAAUGGAGUGCAAUGAGAUACCAUAAUAUUUUCAUUUGGUACUUUUUAUUAGCCUACAGUUCAGUUCAGUUCUAGUCAAUGAAAUACACAGUACUUUUUAGGUUGAAAGCCUCUAUUUAUAAUACUGCUUUAAGAAGCUUAGAUGGAGGAGGAAUACCACAGAGGACAUUGAUCCUCUGACCUAAAAAGCAAGUUAAAAAUGCUCAAUUUUAAAUAAAAAAAUCUUGGGUAGCAAAAAGGAAUCAUCAACUUACCUAAACAGUGAUUGGUGACUAACUAAAGGGGCGCUCGGGCAUUAGUUUAAAGCAAAAACCAAACACAGCUCUGGAACCGUCUUAGGUUUUAAAAGUGAAAACAAGAAUAUAAUUUUUAGCAGGACGCAGAAAGGAUGCACCCACAGCUAAAAGUAGUAGGACAAGCAGCUGCAACAGAAAAACUCCUUCAAACCAAUGACAUCCAAGUUAACUGCAGAAAAGUCACUUCACUCAAUUUCAGUGUGCAACUUCUAUUUAAUCCCAACUACUAAUAAACAACAAACACCUCACCUAACAUGUUUACAGGGCCUGUGGACUCAUUAUUCAUACAACACCACAAAGUGGGCAGCAGGGAGUUGAAAAGAAAGAAAAUUCAUGCCAAGUCAACCCAGGGUCAAAUCACCAAGAACUUAUUUUACGCAAUACUCAUUAAACUCAGUUAUUCUUUUACUUAUUGGUCCAAAAUUAAAUGACCUGAUUAGCUAUCUUCAGGAAAAAAACAAAGUUGAUUUAUCUUUCCCUUUAAGACAAUCAAUCCAAAGAAACUGACAACAGCUGAGCUUUAGUAAAACAGGUAUCUUCUUAGCGAUCAAAGAGAUGAGACACAAAUGAACACUGACGUGUCAUAAACAGUCUCUAGGGCCUCACUUGCUCCGGAGCCCGUCAGCACUUCCCAGGAUGCCAGCUGGGAAGAAGAGGGCAUGUGCCCACAGUAUCUCCAUCUGAAACCUCCCAACUACAACCAUGCCAAAGAUCA